rnacentral:tRNA from 1 species
GUUUGGGUGGCUCAGUGGUUAGAGCCUAGGGCUUGUCACCAGAAGGUCUCAAGUUCGAAUCUCGCAAGAGGCA